UGUCUUUCUUAGAGCCGUAAACACAGAAGUCAAGGUCACAGAACGGUGGAGCAGAGACUGGAGUGAGGCCGUCGCACGUCCAGGGAUGCCCAGAGCCACCAGAGCCGUGAGGUAGAAGCCCUCCCAGGAUCAGCAGGAGGAAAUGUGGCCCUGCUCACGCCAUCUGUGCUCCAACCACGAGCGUGAGACAGCAAGUUCCUGUGGCCCAAAGCUGCCCCGUAGGGGGGCUUAGGCCCAGCAACCCUGGAGUCCUGCCUGUUUACGCCGUGCCUGUAACAGAACACCCGAGGCUGGGUACAUUGCUAGAAAACAAAAAAAGAGUUUUGACACAACUCCGGAAUCAGAGAAGUCAAAGGCUUUGUAGCAGACUUAAUCGUCUGGCGUAGACCACCGUCCGCUUCCCAUGGCUCAGGGCUGUGUUCUCUAGGGCAUGGGGAACAUGGCAGGUGCAGAGACGGUGGAAGUGCACGGAGCACUGAGCGAAGCCCUGUGCACACUCACCUGGAAAGGAGCCCUCGUGGCCUGAAGCCCAGUGAAGUUUCAACACCUCUAUUUUGGAGGGGCUUAUUCAGACCACGGCAUCCGUGAUCCCUCCAUGUUAGACCCCCGAGAAGCAGACAGGCUUCCCCGAAUUGCAGGGUAAUAAAAGGUGUCACUUCAAGCUACAGCCGUGGCAGUUUUCUUCUGCAGCAGUAGGCUGGUGAGGCUCCCAGAGAGUAACUUUAGGCUGAGAAGCAGUGGUUGGAAGUUUCCAGAAGGUUUUUCCGAGCAGCCGGCAAGAUGGCAGAAGGAGAAGCGGAAGAAGUGGGCCUCCCCCAGGUUCACCUACCGUGCAGGGAUGCAGCUGUGCAGGGACCCCCCAGAGGCAGUGCCUGAACAGGGGCCUGCGGUGGCGUCAAGAAGGAGCCUCCACCCAGGAGAAGCCCAAGGUGGUGAAGACCCACCCGGGCAACAGGACCAUCCUGCCUGACGGUGGGCAAAUACAAUGACAAGACCUUCAACCAGUGGAUGGACGAACUCAGCCUUGAAGGAGUCCUGCGGAGCCUUUGCUGACAGUAGCAGGUCUCAGCCCUCUGGGUCCAGUCUACAGAGUCCCGCAGCAGCAGCAGCAGCAGCAGCAGCAGCAGCAGCAGCAGCAGCAGCAGCAGCAGGAGCCAUUCGGGGGUUAGACCGUUGCAUAUAGUUCCUCACACUAAGCUGGGUGGCCCUCAACCCUCCAGAAUGGUUCUUCACACCUGAGUGUGAGGCUGAGGCCCCGGUUUGG
rnacentral:lncRNA from 1 species